rnacentral:rRNA from 1 species
GGCUCAGGAUGAACGCUAGCGGCAGGCUUAAUACAUGCAAGUCGUGGGGCAGCAGGUUUGUAGCAAUACAGAUGCUGGCGACCGGCAAACGGGUGCGGAACACGUACAGAACCUUCCUUUGAGCGGGGAAUAGCCCAGAGAAAUUUGGAUUAAUACCCCCUAGUAUAAUGAAGUGGCAUCACUUUAUUAUUAAAGAUUUAUCACUCGAAGAUGGCUGUGCGGCUGAUUAGGUAGUUGGCGGGGUAAAGGCCCACCAAGCCUGCGAUCAGUAACUGGUGUGAGAGCACGACCAGUCACACGGGCACUGAGACACGGGCCCGACUCCUACGGGAGGCAGCAGUAAGGAAUAUUGGUCAAUGGAGGCAACUCUGAACCAGCCAUGCCGCGUGGAGGAUGAAGGUCCUCUGGAUUGUAAACUUCUUUUAUAUGGGACGAAAAAAGGCUUUCUAAGUCGUCUGACGGUACCAUAUGAAUAAGCACCGGCUAACUCCGUG